UUGACUACAAAGAAGUACUGUAAACAGAAAAACUCAUGGCUUCCACUUGCAAUGAAUUUUCGUCAGAUCAGUUUCGAAGUUACCCUCUCCUCUUCACUGAGAUCACCAACCUGACUUCAGUCAGAGAUCACUGGUGCCCCUGAACCAGUCAUGUAAAAAUUGGACCAAAGUGAAAGAUUUUACAGAAAAGAACUGGCGUGAUUUGGGAAAGAUAUGAGUGACCACUGAGUUUUCUAUUAGAUUCAACAACCAUUAAGUCAAUAUCUCCCGAUAAGCAAUAGAUGCAGCAGCUCACUUGCCGAUGGCAUUCCUUGAAAUUUUAGACCUGUUGGGAGAGGAUAGGGCUAUGAUCAGACAAACCCACUUUUAUGGACUUCCAUUGGAACAAGAUUAAACUUCUAUGAUGUGCUUUGAGGCUGAAAGUAGUGCCUUAAAAUGUUUAGUAGAGGUGCUUUUUGUCUUCCUUAGUUUAGAAGAUAUAAAAGAGGUAAAGUUAUUUCCUGGAAGAUCCGUGUGCGCACAGAUCAUCCACAAAAUGCAAAGUAAAACUUAUAUGUCCUUACAAUUAAAUGAAACAUCCCUCAUUUUGAUAACUCCAGCAAAUGAAGUUUGCGACACUGUUAACUUGAUUCGAAUUGAAUUCAAAGUGGUCACAUUACAGUAGCUAAUAGGGGACCUCCAGGAUGCUUAGCCGCACAACCGGAGGCAAACUUAUGGAACUAUUAGAAUGAAGAGUCUCAACUUUUUUUGCGGUAAUAUUUAUUCAUUUUCAUUACAUGAAUUAUUAAAAUUUGUAAUUCCUACUUGUGAAA